GAGCUCACGAACUUAACCACUAAUGCCACCAGGCCGGCCCCUGUUCCUUCUUUUCUGAUCGCCUAGUCUUCACGCACCAAUAGUCAGAGCCAUGGACUGUAUGAAGAAAGAAUGAAGAUUUGUUUUACAUGCUGCUGGGAACCUACGGAGGCACAGAGAAUGGAUGCUCAAAAGCUGAGCAGAGGCGUUGGCCAGUAAUAAAAAUACUGGCUGACAUGUAGUGAGCACUUACUCUGGGCCGGGCACUAUCAGAGCUCUGUGCAAUAUUAAUUCAGUUUGUCCUCACAACAACCCUGUGAAAUAGAUACUAUUGUGCCCAUUUUAGUGAUGAGGAAACUGAGAUGUAGAGAAGUUAGGUAUCUCACCCAAGGUUGCACAGCUGGUAAAUGUCACAGCUGAGAUUUGAUGUUUGAUUGUUUGAGCUCCGCAGUGAAAUGUAAGACAAUAGGACAGUGGUGGGCAUGGCCGGAGUGGGCUUUGUGUGCUUCUGGGGAUCACCAUACCUUUUUAAAAGGUUGUUUGCAGUGGGGCCAGGUCUCUGUUGAGCAGAGGGGGCCAUGACCCAGCAACAGCUGUUUCCUCACUCUUGGUGGGAACUGGUCUGGACCCACUGGCUGAUAGG
rnacentral:lncRNA from 1 species